rnacentral:rRNA from 1 species
AACGACGCUGGCGGCGCGUCUUAAGCAUGCAAGUCGAGCGGUAUGGAGAAGCUUGCUUCUCCAGAGAGCGGCGGACUGGUGAGUAACACGUGGGUGACCUACCCUUAGGAUGGGGAUAGCCACUAGAAAUAGUGGGUAAUACCGAAUGUGGUUGCGAGACUGUGGUCUUGCAAAGAAAGGAGCUACGGCUCCGCCUGAGGAUGGGCCCGCGUCCCAUUAGCUAGUUGGUGAGGUAACGGCCCACCAAGGCGAUGAUGGGUAGCCGGCCUGAGAGGGUGAACGGCCACACUGGGACUGAGAUACGGCCCAGACUCCUACGGGAGGCAGCAGCUAAGAAUAUUCCGCAAUGGACGAAAGUCUGACGGAGCGACGCCGCGUGGAUGAAGAAGGCCGAAAGGUUGUAAAAUCCUUUUGUCGAUGAAGAAUAAGCAUGGGAGGGAAUGCCCGUGUGAUGACGUUAGUCGGCGAAUAAGCCCCGGCUAAUUACGUG